AUUGAGUUUGAUCCUGGCUCAGAACGAACGCUGGCGGCAGGCUUAACACAUGCAAGUCGAGCGCCCCGCAAGGGGAGCGGCAGACGGGUGAGUAACGCGUGGGAAUCUACCCAUCUCUACGGAACAACUCCGGGAAACUGGAGCUAAUACCGUAUACGUCCUAAGGGAGAAAGAUUUAUCGGAGAUGGAUGAGCCCGCGUUGGAUUAGCUAGUUGGUGGGGUAAUGGCCUACCAAGGCGACGAUCCAUAGUUGGUCUGAGAGGAUGAUCAGCCACACUGGGACUGAGACACGGCCCAGACUCCUACGGGAGGCAGCAGUGGGGAAUAUUGGACAAUGGGCGCAAGCCUGAUCCAGCCAUGCCGCGUGAGUGAUGAAGGCCCUAGGGUUGUAAAGCUCUUUCAACGGUGAAGAUAAUGACGGUAACCGUAGAAGAAGCCCCGGCUAACUUCGUGCCAGCAGCCGCGGUAAAAUC
rnacentral:rRNA from 1 species